rnacentral:rRNA from 1 species
UACGUAGGGUGCAAGCGUUAAUCGGAAUUACUGGGCGUAAAGCGUGCGCAGGCGGCUUUGCAAGACAGAUGUGAAAUCCCCAGGCUCAACCUGGGAACUGCGCUCGAAACUGUGGGUCUUGAGUGUCGGAGAGGAUGGCGGAAUUCCUGGUGUAGAGGUGAAAUUCGUAGAUAUCAGGAGGAACACCGGUGGCGAAGGCGGCCAUCUGGACGACAACUGACGCUGAGAUGCGAAAGCGUGGGGAGCAAACAGG